GGAGCCAUCUAGGAAAGGGGAAUGGAAACUGAGAUGCUGGCACUUUGGGCCCUGCCAAUGAGCUAAAGCAGUGUAUAAUUAAGGAAUUGCACAGGCUUCCUUCCCCAGGACAAAGCAGCGCACAGUCUUCUUGGAUUACUGUCCUCUUACAGCAAUAAUUACCUGUGGAUAAUAGAUUAUAUUAUUGGAAGGGCACACACGCUUGCUGCCAGCCACGUUCUUCUUGGUGGGCUGCCCACUUCUGCUGCAGAACUGAUGAGCAUCAUGCCAGCGGAGAAGAGCUUGAGCCUAGGAACACAAUGAUGGGCCUGGUGUCAUUUGGAGAGAAUGCGGGGCUCAUCUUUAACAGCACUGGGCCUAGUGUCUGGAACAACUCACAGAAAAAUGCCAAUCUCUUUACAGCUCACGUAAUUUAAAUGGUUACUGUUUAAAUUUCAGGACAAGUAAACUAACUGAACAUAUUCCUCUAGCAUCAGAAAUCUGAAUAAAAGAAAGCAUAUUUUUAAAUGUAUUAUUAUUUAAAACAUAUGAAGUAUAUGAGGUAAUAAAAUGAACACCCAUGUAUUCACUAACCAGCUUAAAAAUAAAACAUUCCCAGUACAGUUGAACACCCCAAAAUGUUCUUCUCCCUGGUAAAGUUGGAAUUUUUUGCAACUAAAAAAAUGUUUAGAGGUUUCUUUUUAAAUUAAAUGCACAAUCAAAAUACUUUAGCAAGUGAAAUCUAAAGCUGUGAGGGCAAGUCAUUAAAGCAAUGUAAAGUAAUUUCUCUUAGGGAAAACAUGAUACUGUAUAUGUCAUGCUAUGUGGGUCAUUAAAAAUGUUUAUGAGGCUGA
rnacentral:lncRNA from 10 species